CACAAGCGGUGGAGCAUGUGGUUUAAUUCGAUGCAACGCGAAGAACCUUACCUGGUCUUGACAUCCACAGAACUUUCCAGAGAUGGAUUGGUGCCUUCGGGAACUGUGAGACAGGUGCUGCAUGGCUGUCGUCAGCUCGUGUUGUGAAAUGUUGGGUUAAGUCCCGCAACGAGCGCAACCCUUAUCCUUUGUUGCCAGCGGUCCGGCCGGGAACUCAAAGGAGACUGCCAGUGAUAAACUGGAGGAAGGUGGGGAUGACGUCAAGUCAUCAUGGCCCUUACGACCAGGGCUACACACGUGCUACAAUGGCGCAUACAAAGAGAAGCGACCUCGCGAGAGCAAGCGGACCUCAUAAAGUGCGUCGUAGUCCGGAUUGGAGUCUGCAACUCGACUCCAUGAAGUCGGAAUCGCUAGUAAUCGUGGAUCAGAAUGCCACGGUGAAUACGUUCCCGGGCCUUGUACACACCGCCCGUCACACCAUGGGAGUGGGUUGCAAAAGAAGUAGGUAGCUUAACCUUCGGGAGGGCGCUUACCACUUUGUGAUUCAUGACUGGGGUGAAGUCGUAACAAGGUAACCGUAGGGGAACCUGC
rnacentral:rRNA from 1 species